CUUUGGGCUAUAUGAAACACUUAUGGUGAUUGGAAGUCCAUAGUCAAGACUGCAGGAAAGAUUUAGUAUUGUUGCACCUGUGGAACCAAUCUGUAAGAUCUUUGCUUUUAUGUUGCUUACAUCUAUCUAUUCAUAUUUGAGCCAUACUUCUGUUAUGUUGCUAUAACUUGGAGUCUAUUUUUUUGUAGAGUGCAUGAAAUGGAGAUGAUGUCAGUGGGUCUUUCAUGGUAUAUAAGCAAUUAGGCCAUACAAAAGCAUCAUUAACAAGUACAGAGGGUUAUAAUCCCAACUAUUUGGGGUGAGCUACAUGAAUGAAUCCUUUUCAUUUAUUUCUAAUAACAGUGAUAUCCUAGUGCAUGUUCUAAUUUGUAUUGCGUGAAAAUCCAUCUUCUAAAUUAUGGCAAUGUAUUUAAUGGCUACUAGAUGACAAACACGCUAUUCCUUCUUCUCCUUGAUUGAUAUUCAUGCUCGGGAGAAUAGAAUGUGACAUGCACUGGUGGUGUUGUUAUGUACAUGGAACUUUAAGAAGAACCUUUUUCCCCAUUUUCUUGGUAUUUCCAAUAUUGAUUUAACAUAGUCACGAUGUUUACGUUACGAUGGAAUGUUAUCAAGCAAUUAGGCAAGCUUGAUUCUCUUAGCCUAUUUCUGUGAAUUUUGGCAUUUUGUACUGUUUAGGUCCUGAUACAUGUUAUAAAAUUCUCCUUCUGUUUCGUUUCAUAUCUGUUUCUUGUACUGUUUAAGUCCUGAUACAUUUUGUACUAUUUCUAGGUAUUUCCAAUAUCUGUUUGUUCGUAUCAGACUCGUAGUUUGUGACUUCGAUAAGUUCUAUUUUCUCGUAGCUUGUUCUUGUUAAAGACCCAAACUGUUUGUGGAAAAUUAGACUGCCAAAAGUCGUAGAUCAUGUCUAUGAUCUUCCUUUUGUUCCAUUACUUUUUCUUCUGAUUGAGCAAACUUUUACUCCAUAGACUAUGAACGUCCUGAAAGCCACAUGCCAUUGUGCAGUUGCACAAACAUUUCACAAGAUUAGUGGGAAAUAGUAUCAUAGCUUACUCUCUCUUAUUUCAAUAGCUGACUUGAAUCUACAGCCACAUGGGAUUUACUUAAAAUUGUCUUCAGUGAAAUACCUUAAGAGAUUAAGGUGACUUUCCAGGAUACCCUGCAUGUUUUAUCAAAUAUAAUAUGAAUUUAUAAGUAGCAAAAGGAUGAUUCUUCAUUUCCUUGAAAUGCAAUGGUCUAUUCUUGGAAUUAACAGUGAAGAGUGGGUUUUCCCUUCGUAUCUGUCCAUUCGAAGGGGCAAGACACUCUGUUUCUUCUGUUCUCUCACAUCAGGUAACCAUGCUAAACCACUAUGAAACAACUUGUCCCAGUAAAUUCCUAUACUGUAUAAAAUAGGCUAAACCUCCAAGAGGACUUGUUUGUUUCUUGGUGCAGAUCAUGAAGUCACUACGAACCAGAUCAUGUCUUUAUGAGUAGUCCUUGAUUUGCUUAGUGCAGUUUGAGACUUCGCCCCCAGUUCAAGGUGCUCAGUUGAUGGUGAACGCUUGGAACAGGUGUCCUGAUUUUUUGGUUGAAUAGACAUCACCUUUUGUAGUUUGGCAUCAACAUGAUAGCCAAUUCCCACACAGGUGUCUUUCAUGCUCAAAGUACCUGACAACUGUUUGACAAAUGUUGUGGAUCUUCCCUGGGAACAAUCCCGUCGACAAAUAUCCACAUUGGCAAGAAUCUGCAUGAGCCACUUGGAGAUCUGUAGAUGUAGAUGGAGGACAUGUAGGUUAGCUUUCUGUCAUCAGCCUCCAGAAGAGUGGAGGAUGAGACUUGUUCCAAAUGGUUCAAGGUCCGCAAGGAGGUCAAGCCCAAUGGCUGUAGGAAGAUGUAGGGCUGGGUCAUGUUCAGACUUGAAGCAAGAAAGAAGGAGCUCAGAGCUCCCUUCUCUGCAGGAUGAAGAUGUAAAUGCUGGAUCCUACUGAUUCAUAUCCAAGUCAAUUAUGGCCAACAAGUCUUGGAUUCUUGUGAAAAUUCUUGUGUCAGAAACCUCAUGGUGUUCCCCCACGUAACAUUUUUUUUGUUGUUUUUCUAUACUCGACAUGUGCAUUAUCUUCUUCGACAUUCAAAGAUCAGAUCCUGAGAGUACAAAACUUUUCAGUAUUAUCUUCUUCAUGCACAGAGAGAAAAGAAGGGAACUAAUAGAACCUAGCAGAAUGAUUGCAGCUGUGUGCCACCAACCAGCAUAUUGGCUUUCUUUGUAAUGUUGGAAGAUUGAUGAAAAGAUUAGGGUUAGCUUUGAUAACAUAGAGAUUUUCUAUGAUAAAAGAGAGAUAUCCUCAACUGCAUAGCAGAUGAGAUUUCCUCAACUGCAUGAGGAAAUCUCUCUGCUCAGUUAAAGAAAUAUCCUCUUUCACUAUGUAUAAAUAGACUUCACAUUAUACUACUUGAUGUGUGCCUUUUGCUUUAUCCUUAUAAUUUCAUUCUUCAUUAUCUCA